UACGGAGGGUGCGAGCGUUAAUCGGAAUUACUGGGCGUAAAGGGUGCGUAGGUGGUAUGGCAAGUUAUCUGUGAAAUUCCUGGGCUUAACCUGGGCACUGCAGAUAAUACUGUCGCACUAGAGUAUAGGAGAGGGUAGUGGAAUUUCCGGUGUAGCGGUGAAAUGCGUAGAGAUCGGAAGGAACACCAGUGGCGAAGGCGGCUACCUGGCCUAAUACUGACACUGAGGCACGAAAGCGUGGGGAGCAAACAGG
rnacentral:rRNA from 1 species